GAUAGUACCUUUACCUGGAUAACCGUGGUAAUUCUAGAGCUAAUACAUGCUAAAAACCUCGACUUCGGAAGGGGUGUAUUUAUUAGAUAAAAAACCAAUGCCCUUCGGGGCUCCUUGGUGAAUCAUAAUAACUUAACGAAUCGCAUGGCCUUGCGCCGGCGAUGGUUCAUUCAAAUUUCUGCCCUAUCAACUUUCGAUGGUAAGAUAGAGGCUUACCAUGGUCUUAACGGGUAAGGGGAAUUAGGGUUCUAUUCCGGAGAGGGAGCCUGAGAAACGGCUACCACAUCCAAGGAAGGCAGCAGGCGCGCAAAUUACCCAAUCCCGACACGGGGAGGUAGUGACAAUAAAUACUGAUACGGGGCUCUUUUGGGUCUCGUAAUUGGAAUGAGUACAAUCUAAAUCCCUUAACGAGGAACAAUUGGAGGGCAAGUCUGGCGCCAGCAGCCGCGGUAAUUCCAGCUCCAAUAGCGUAUAUUAAAGUUGUUGCCGUUAAAAAGCUCGUAGUUGAACCUUGGGCCUGGCUG
rnacentral:rRNA from 1 species